UGUGUUUAAGUGUCGUUUCAAUUUUGCGCUGGUGCGCAGGCGACUUAGGAUCGGAUACUGUUUUGCAGGUGACACAACAUUGGAGUUCGCAAACCCAACCUGAAUAACCGUAAACUCUUUCUCUUUGUCACCUCCUUGUGAACUCUCCACUUUCAUAACUGCACGCUCUCUCCGGAACCGCCCGUAAGCUUGCCAUUUAGUUGCCUUUCGGUUUUCGAUCCCGUCGGUUCGCAGGUACAAAAGCACGGAGAAAUGGCUGCACUUGUCGGUAAGGAAU
ensembl:ncRNA lncRNA:CR45665 long non-coding RNA:CR45665